CGUUUUUUGUAUUAAUAAAAAAUAAGGCCUGCUCUAUGAGAGGGUUGAAUGGCCGCAGUAUCUUGACUGUGCAAAGGUAGCGUAAUAAUUAGUCUCUUAAUUGGGGUCCAGUAUGAACGGCUACAUGGGGAGUGACUUUCUUAUUUUUAUAUAAAUUGAAUUUCUUAUUGAAGUGAGGAAACUUUAGUGUACCUAAAAGACAAGAAGACCCUAUUAAGCUUUACUUUAAAAUUUAAACGUAAAGUUGGAGAAAGAUUUAAGUAGGAAGUUUCGUUGGGGCAAUGUUAGUAGAUAAAUACUAAGGUUAGUUAAUUAUUUAAAAAUCUUUUGGUCCAGAAUUUCUGGUUUAUAGAAUAAGUUACUAUAGGGAUAACAGCGUAAUUUUUUUGGAGAGUCCAUAUCGAUAAGGAAGUUUGCGACCUCGAUGUUGAAUUAAAGAACCUUAGGGACGCAAGAGUUUUUAAAGGUAGUCUGUUCGACUAUUAAAACUUUACA
rnacentral:rRNA from 1 species